GAUGAACGCUGGCGGCGUGCCUAAUACAUGCAAGUCGAGCGAACAGACGAGGAGCUUGCUCCUCUGAUGUUAGCGGCGGACGGGUGAGUAACACGUGGAUAACCUACCUAUAAGACUGGGAUAACUUCGGGAAACCGGAGCUAAUACCGGAUAACAUGUUGAACCGCAUGGUUCAACAGUGAAAGACGGUCUUGCUGUCACUUAUACAUGGAUCCGCGCCGCAUUAGCUAGGUGGUAAUGUAACAGCUUACCAAGGCAACGAUGCGUAGCCGACCCGAGAGGGUGAUUGGCCAUACUAUGGCUGACACACGGUCCAGACUGCUACGGGAGUCAGCAGUGAGUAAUCGUCCGCAAUGUGCUAAAACCUAACGGACCGACGACGAGUGAAUGAAGGAGCACUUCGGAUCGUAAAACUCUGUUAUUAGGGAAGAACAAGUGUGUAAGUAACAAUAAACGUCUAGAAGGUACCAAAUCAGAAAGCCGAGGCGAGCUACGG
rnacentral:rRNA from 1 species